rnacentral:rRNA from 1 species
AGAGUUUGAUCCUGGCUCAGGACGAACGCUGGCGGCGUGCCUAAUACAUGCAAGUCGAGCGAGCUUGCCUAGAUGAUUUUAGUGCUUGCACUAAAAGAAACUAGAUACAAGCGAGCGGCGGACGGGUGAGUAACACGUGGGUAACCUGCCCAAGAGACUGGGAUAACACCUGGAAACAGAUGCUAAUACCGGAUAACAACACUAGACGCAUGUCUAGAGUUUAAAAGAUGGUUCUGCUAUCACUCUUGGAUGGACCUGCGGUGCAUUAGCUAGUUGGUAAGGUAACGGCUUACCAAGGCAAUGAUGCAUAGCCGAGUUGAGAGACUGAUCGGCCACAUUGGGACUGAGACACGGCCCAAACUCCUACGGGAGGCAGCAGUAGGGAAUCUUCCACAAUGGACGCAAGUCUGAUGGAGCAACGCCGCAUGAGUGAAGAAGGGUUUCGGCUCGUAAAGCUCUGUUGGUAGUGAAGAAAGAUAGAGGUAGUAACUGGCCUUUAUUUGACGGUAAUUACCUAGAAAGUCACGGCUAACUACGUGCCAGCAGCCGCGGUAAUACGUAGGUGGCAAGCGUUGUCCGGAUUUAUUGGGCGUAAAGCGAGUGCAGGCGGUUCAAUAAGUCUGAUGUGAAAGCCUUCGGCUCAACCGGAGAAUUGCAUCAGAAACUGUUGAACUUGAGUGCAGAAGAGGAGAGUGGAACUCCAUGUGUAGCGGUGAAAUGCGUAGAUAUAUGGAGGAACACCGGUGGCGAAAGCGACUCUCUGGUCUGUAACUGACGCUGAGGCUCGAAAGCGUGGGGAGCAAACAGAAUUAGAUACCCUGGUAGUCCACGCCGUAAACGAUGAGUGAAAGGUGUUAGGCCCUUUCCGGGGGCUUAGUGCCGCAGCUAAC